CAAUGUUGAUCCUGUUUAUGACGUCGAAUAUCGACGUCAUAAACACCAAAGUUGAUCGUGUUUAUGACGUCGAAUAUCAACGUCAUAAACACCAAAG